AGAGUUUGAUCAUGGCUCAGGACGAACGCUGGCGGCGUGCUUAACACAUGCAAGUCGAACGAUGAAGGAAGCUUGCUUCUGGAUUAGUGGCGAACGGGUGAGUAACACGUGAGUAACCUGCCCUUGACUCUGGGAUAAGCACUGGAAACGGUGUCUAAUACCGGAUACGAACCUCAGCCGCAUGGCUAGGGGUUGGAAAGAAUUUUGGUCAAGGAUGGACUCGCGGCCUAUCAGCUAGUUGGUGAGGUAACGGCCCACCAAGGCGACGACGGGUAGCCGGCCUGAGAGGGUGACCGGCCACACUGGGACUGAGACACGGCCCAGACUCCUACGGGAGGCAGCAGUGGGGAAUAUUGCACAAUGGGCGAAAGCCUGAUGCAGCAACGCCGCGUGAGGGACGACGGCCUUCGGGUUGUAAACCUCUUUUAGUAGGGAAGAAGCGAAAGUGACGGUACCUGCAGAAAAAGCACCGGCUAACUACGUGCCAGCAGCCGCGGUAAUACGUAGGGUGCAAGCGUUGUCCGGAAUUAUUGGGCGUAAAGAGCUCGUAGGCGGUUUGUCGCGUCUGCUGUGAAAACCCGAGGCUCAACCUCGGGCCUGCAGUGGGUACGGGCAGACUAGAGUGCGGUAGGGGAGAUUGGAAUUCCUGGUGUAGCGGUGGAAGCGCAGAUAUCAGGAGGAACACCGAUGGCGAAGGCAGAUCUCUGGGCCGUAACGACGNNGAGGAGCGAAAGCAUGGGGAGCGAACAGGAUUAGAUACCCUAGUAGUCC
rnacentral:rRNA from 1 species